AGCCAGACACUUUCAGCCCCUUGAAGUAAAAAUUCAGAAGAGCAUCAAUGUAUAGUUUGUUAAAUUAUAUAUAUAAAAACCUUUAUUGACAUUUUUACUAUAGAUUAUACACUUAAAACUUAAUAGCAACACUUCAACAUUAAUCCCUGCUGGGUAAUUCAAAACAAUCCAUCAAUAACCAAGAUUCCACUACAGUUUGCAAAAUGUUGGGAAUGUUAUUAAAAGAACGGAAUUAACAGCCUUUAGUAAUGCAAACUUUAUUUACAUUAAAAGAAAGUUCCGGUACUUCAUGCCAUGCUCCUUAAAAGAAAGGAAUCAAUCCUUCAAACGUUAUGAGAGCUUCAGAGAUGCUUGAGAGAGAGAAAGAAAACAGCAAAAAUGGCAAACAGUUUUGAACAGACAGAAGUUGAGACCAAGUGAAAGCGACAUUAAUUUAGAUUUCUCUGAAAUGUCUAUUUUAAAAACAAACAAAACAAGCGUCAGUUACACAUAUUACAGCAUUCUGCACAGGAAAACUGUACACUGAAAACCCUAGAUGACACGUAAAAGCCUAGUGUGGUUAGCCACUGUAUGUACAAAAACAACAAUACUAACAUACAGAAAAUGUUUACUUAAUAUUAUACAAUGUAGACAGACCGAGUUAGCGUGUGCAGCAGCGUCUUCAGCGUCCGAUGGGGAACAUCACUCUUCAACUGUUUGAGUUUCUCUUUAGGGAAAACCUUCAUGAAGUUGUGCACAUCUAGCAGGAUGCGGUCCAGAUUAAUACUGUUGAUGGUCUGCGGCAGGAAACGGAUCAUUCUCCAUAGACACUGCAUGGGACAGAGAGCGGUGUUAUUUAAAGAGGACAAGAAAGCAAAAUAGGUCAUAUUUUCAUAAAACACUGAAUCUAUGUUGGAAUAAGAUUUUUAACCCCAUUACAUCAGUGUUAUGUACAUACUAUUUAUUUUUUUAAAUUGACUUAUAUUUUUAUUUUUUUCAGUUUUCAUUUUUGUUUCGUUUACAUUUGAGUUCUUCAGCUUUCAAAAAAAUAAAAGAAAUCUUGGCAACUAAUUAAAGUCAAGUUUUCCCCUCUUUAUUUAUAUUUUAUUUCAAUUAUUGGAAAUAUAAU
rnacentral:lncRNA from 1 species